rnacentral:rRNA from 1 species
GACGAACGCUGGCGGCGUGCUUAACACAUGCAAGUCGAACGAUGAGGCCGGAGCUUGCUCUGGUGAACUAGUGGCGAACGGGUGAGUAACACGUGAGUAACCUGCCCUUGACUCUGGGAUAACUGCGGGAAACUGUAGCUAAUACCGGAUACGACCCUCGGAGGCAUCUCCUGGGGGUGGAAAGAAUUUCGGUCAAGGAUGGACUCGCGGCCUAUCAGCUAGUUGGUGAGGUAAAGGCUCACCAAGGCGACGACGGGUAGCCGGCCUGAGAGGGUGACCGGCCGCACUGGGACUGAGACACGGCCCAGACUCCUACGGGAGGCAGCAGUGGGGAAUAUUGCACAAUGGGCGCAAGCCUGAUGCAGCAACGCCGCGUGAGGGAUGACGGCCUUCGGGUUGUAAACCUCUUUCAGCAGGGAAGAAGCGAAAGUGGCGGUACCUGCAGAAAAAGCACCGGCUAACUACGUGCCAGCCGCCGCGGUAA